rnacentral:rRNA from 1 species
UACGUAGGAGGCAAGCGUUGUCCGGAAUUACUGGGUGUAAAGCGCGUGUAGGCGGCAGGCCAAGUCUGUGGUGAAAUCGCUCGGCUCAACUGGGGAGGGUCGUGCGAUACGGUCGAACUGGAGGCCAGUAGGGGGAUGCGGAAUUCCGGGUGUAGCGGUGAAAUGCGUAGAGAUGUGGAGGAACACCAGUGGCGAAGGCGACUCUUUGGUCUGUAACUGACGCUGAGGCGCGAAAGCGUGGGGAGCAAACAGG